rnacentral:rRNA from 1 species
UACAGAGGUCUCAAGCGUUGUUCGGAUUCAUUGGGCGUAAAGGGCGCGUAGGCGGCGGGGUAAGUCUGGUGUGAAAUCUAGGAGCUCAACUCCUAAACUGCACUGGAUACUGCUCUGCUAGAGGACUGGAGAGGAGACUGGAAUUCACGGUGUAGCAGUGAAAUGCGUAGAUAUCGUGAGGAAGACCAGUGGCGAAGGCGGGUCUCUGGACAGUUCCUGACGGCUG